UACGUAGGGGGCAAGCGUUGUCCGGAUUUAUUGGGCGUAAAGAGCUCGUAGGUGGUUCGGUAAGUCGGAUGUGAAAUCUCCAGGCUCAACCUGGAGGGGUCAUUCGAUACUGCCGUGACUAGAGGUCGGUAGGGGAGUGUGGAAUUCCUGGUGGAGCGGUGAAAUGCGCAGAUAUGUGGAGGAAUACCGAUGGCGAAGGCAGCCCCCUGGGAUGACACUGACGCUCAUGCACGAAAGCGUGGGGAGCAAACAGG
rnacentral:rRNA from 1 species